AUACGUAGGUGGCAAGCGUUGUCCGGAAUUAUUGGGCGUAAAGCGCGCGCAGGCGGUCCUUUAAGUCUGAUGUGAAAUCACGUGGCUCAACCACGUGCGGUCAUUGGAAACUGGAGGACUUGAGUGCAGAAGAGGAAAGUGGAAUUCCAAGUGUAGCGGUGAAAUGCGUAGAGAUUUGGAGGAACACCAGUGGCGAAGGCGACUUUCUGGUCUGUAACUGACGCUGAGGCGCGAAAGCGUGGGGAGCGAACAGGAUUAGAUACCCUGGUAGUCCACGCCGUAAACGAUGAGUGCUAAGUGUUAGGGGGUUUCCGCCCCUUAGUGCUGCAGCAAACGCAUUAGGCACUCCGCCUGGGGAGUACGGUCGCAAGACUGAA
rnacentral:rRNA from 1 species